UUGUUGAGAUAAGUAAAAAGUUUAUGUUGUUGUUGUUAUUGUUUUAGUGUUAUGUUUUUCUUAAAUAAGUAAAAUGUUUGUGUUUUUGUUUUUAUUUUUGUUAGAUUAUGUUGUUGUUUUUAUUGAUAUAAACAAAAUGUUUAUGUUAUUAUUAUUGUUUUUGUUGAGAUAAAUAAAAGGUUUAGUGUUAUUGUUAUUGUU
rnacentral:lncRNA from 1 species